rnacentral:rRNA from 1 species
UGCGUAGGCGGCCCGUUAAGUCGGGGUGAAAUACUUCGGCUCAACCGGAGAAUUGCCUUCGAUACUGGCGGGCUGGAGGAAGGUAGGGGUCGCGGGAACUGCCACGUGGAGCGGUGAAAUGCGUUGAUAUUGGCAGGAACGCCGGUGGUGAAGACGCGCGGCUGGACCUUUUCUUGACGCUGAGGCACGAAAGCCAGGGGAGCAAAACG